GCGGAACACUAGGGGUGCCUUUGCGCUGAGAUGGCUGCCGCCAAUCCCUUCGAACCUGAUGUGGGUAAUACCAACGUAGGAAAGUGGUUUCGACGUCAG
rfam:Bifidobacterium scardovii strain LMG 21589 Contig15, whole genome shotgun sequence.